UCAGCAAACGCAGACCCUGGGAAGUCAUGGUUUCUCAUACACCAUCAUUUCUUUGUAGCAACUUCACAUCUGGUUCUAUCAAGAGGAAUCCUUGUGGGUUAGGUGCCUUUGGAAAGAUGUUUGUGUACUUCAGAGGAUGGGAAAUCUAUUUUAAAGUACACUUCAAAGCCCUGACUUUAUAAGGUUCUUAAGUAUUGCCGGUUCCCAAACAUUGCCAGUUGAUACAUAGAAAUCUAGAUAUUAGAUUCAGCUUUAUCCUCUGGAUAUAACAUGACAAUUGUUAAAACUUUUCUCGCUUCCAACAAUGAUGCAUAAAAUGAUGACAUACCAAAGCAAAGCCUUGAGCAAUCUUGAGAGAAUCCCAGGGGCAUAUUUUACUCUGUUGAACAUGUAGUCUGACAUUGAGGGACCAAUGUUGAGUGCCGUUCAAGAAAGUUUGGUGGGGAUCCAUCCGUUUCCUUAGUGAGCAAUGUUUCCUCAGUUGAAUGUGAUCAGUUUUCCUAUGUAGAAACUAGAGAACAUUACCUAAUCCCUGGUUUCCAUAACAACCAUUGAGCACCACCAGCACUGGGGGUGACACUGACAGGUCCUCACAGGACAAGUACUGUUGCCCCAAGUAAGGGCCUGCAGUGGAAGGGAUGCAGAGCUUUAGCAGCAGGAACCUGAAACCUGAAACCUCACCACCAGGCACAGCAUAUAAUCUGCCACUUCAUGAGAAGUUUAACUUAAUCAUUGAUCCACAAUUGUGACACACUUUUAACCAAAGCCUAAAGGGAAAUGAAGGCCUCAUUACAGGUUCAACACAGUUUACAAACAUCAGCCACAAAGACCCAGACUUAUCUUAGGGAUUGCUUUUGGCCUGGCGGGAUUGAAGAUGGGGAUGCAUUGGAGCUCUGCAGAGAACAAUAUGACCCUCUGUCACCCUGAAGGAAACAGAAGUUCCAUACCAGGCAUCAUAGAAUCUGAUUUUGCCCACACAUACUGCAGGCUCCUGAAGGAGAAAGUUCUCACCGGUACAAACCCUAAAAGUCAGUUUUCAGGAACAAAUAGCUCUGUUUACUACUGUGAAAUUUUUGAAUCAAAAAGCAAAUUUAUAAUGUCUAAUAACAACAUAAGUGGGUAGUAGGAUCUUUGGAAGUUUUGGAAUACUGUAGCACAGCGAUGUUUCU
rnacentral:lncRNA from 1 species